UGAGAUUAGGACUUAGUUGGGGGU
rnacentral:piRNA from 1 species